rnacentral:rRNA from 1 species
AUUGAACGCUGGCGGCAGGCCUAACACAUGCAAGUCGAGCGGAUGAAGGGAGCUUGCUCCUGGAUUCAGCGGCGGACGGGUGAGUAAUGCCUAGGAAUCUGCCUGGCAGUGGGGGAUAACGUCCGGAAACGGGCGCUAAUACCGCAUACGUCCUGAGGGAGAAAGUGGGGGAUCUUCGGACCUCACGCUAUCAGAUGAGCCUAGGUCGGAUUAGCUAGUUGGUGGGGUAAAGGCCUACCAAGGCGACGAUCCGUAACUGGUCUGAGAGGAUGAUCAGUCACACUGGAACUGAGCCACGGUCCAGACUCCUACGGGAGGCAGCAGUGGGGAAUAUUGGACAAUGGGCGAAAGCCUGAUCCAGCCAUGCCGCGUGUGUGAAGAAGGUCUUCGGAUUGUAAAGCACUUUAAGUUGGGAGGAAGGGCAGUAAGUUAAUACCUUGCUGUUUUGACGUUACCAACAGAAUAAGCACCGGCUAACUUCGUG